AUCUACGGCCAUGACACCCUGAACAAGCCCAAUCCCGUUUGAUUUCGGAAGCUAAGCAGGGUCGGGUAUGGUUAGUACUUGGAUGGGAGACCACCUAGAAAGACCAGGUGCUGUAGACG
rfam:Pteropus alecto contig65225, whole genome shotgun sequence.